rfam:Methylomonas sp. LWB scaffold19_size95574, whole genome shotgun sequence.
CUUGGUGAACAUAGCAAGCGUGAACCACCCGAUCCCAUCCCGAACUCGGAAGUGAAACCGCUUAGCGCCGAUGAUAGUGUGGCAGGUUGCCAUGUGAAAGUAGGUCAUCGCCAAGC